GACGAAGGGGGCUAGCGUUGUUCGGAAUUACUGGGCGUAAAGCGAGUGUAGGUGGUUGUCCAAGUUGGAUGUGAAAGCCUUGAGCUCAACUCAAGAAAUGCAUUCAGGACUGGGCGGCUAGAGGACCGGAGAGGAUAGUGGAAUUCCCAGUGUAGUGGUGAAAUACGUAGAGAUUGGGAAGAACACCAGUGGCGAAGGCGGCUAUCUGGGCGGUUUCUGACACUAAGACUCGAAAGCGUGGGGAGCAAACAGG
rnacentral:rRNA from 1 species